GGUGGCUAUGGACCGCCCCCUGCAGGAAGAGGAGCCCCCCCGCCACCCCCACCGUUCACCUCCUACAUCGUGUCCACCCCUCCUGGAGGCUUUCCCCCUCCCCAGGGCUUCCCUCAGGGCUACGGUGCCCCGCCACAGUUCAGUUUUGGCUACGGGCCUCCACCUCCACCGCCAGAUCAGUUUGCCCCUCCGGGGGUUCCUCCUCCACCAGCCACUCCCGGGGCAGCACCUCUGGCUUUCCCACCGCCUCCGUCUCAGGCUGCCCCGGACAUGAGCAAGCCCCCGACAGCUCAGCCAGACUUCCCCUAUGGUCAGUAUGGUAAGUUACGGGCAGGACUUGAGUGGCUUCGGACAGGGCUUCUCAGACCCCAGCCAGCAGCCUCCUUCCUACGGGGGUCCCUCCGUGCCAGGGUCGGGGGGCCCCCCCGCCGGCGGCAGCGGCUUUGGACGAGGGCAGAACCACAACGUGCAAGGGUUCCACCCCUACCGACGCUAGCCCGCGGCGCCGCGACGUCUGCACGGCCCAGACCCAGGAUUCCAAACUUGUGAACUCGUGACAAUCACAAACUUGGCGGCAAAGUGGCGACUCAACCUUGGGGGGGGGGGCGGGGGGAGGGCGCGAGGCUUUUGGAGCGGCUGUGGGUGUCGUCUGGACUGAGGUUUUUAAAUAUUUCUUUCUCUAACCCAUCAGCAC
rnacentral:lncRNA from 1 species